rnacentral:lncRNA from 1 species
GUUGGUCUGCCUAGUGCUUGAUCAGCUGUGAGUGAGAUCCUGAGAAAGGCUCCCGGUGACUGAGCUCAAGGAUGGAGCCCCUGGUAAGUAGUGAUGCUUCCUCCUGAAGCUGAACCCAGUCCCCAUCCUUCCUCAGCUCAGCCGCCCACUCUAGACAGCGAUAGGGCAGCUCUGUCUAAACCAGAACAUCCAUAGUUUUUUAGGACUUGGUGACAUUAAAGAUGUAGCAGUCAACUUCACCCAGAAGAGUGGAGCCUGCUAGACAAGUCCCAGAAAAACCUGUUCAGAAAUGUGAUGCUGGAAACUGUCACCCACCUGGUCUCUGUAGGCUAUCAAAUUAGCAAAUCAGAUGUGAUUUCAUAGCUGGAACAAGGAACAGAGCUGUGGACUGAAGCAGCAGGAGGCCUCCAAGGCAGUGAAAGAUCCCUUAAACAACAAGAAAUGAUAUUCAUGCAAAGUAUCUACAGAAAGCACAUAUCCUCUACUAUGUCAGUAGUUUCUCACCAGCAAGGGGAUCCUGCUGGAUGUACUAAUUCGAGAGAUGAAUUAGCUUCUAGAUCUUCACCUCAACAGUCAUCAAUUCACUUAAGAAUGAAACAUGUCAGCAAACAGUGUGGAAAAUCAUGUAGUCAAGGAUCAUUUCUUAAUGCACAGGGUCCUAUUCACACUAGAGGAAAAUCAUGUGAAUGUCUUCUAUGUAAAAAAGUCUUUAAUAAUUACUUUAGCCUCAGAUGACACAGGAUGAUUCACACAGGAGAGAAACCAAACAAAUGCAGUCUGUGUGGAAAUGGCUAUUUUCUGAGAAACCACAAUCGGGUCCACACUGGAGAGAAACGAUUUGAAUGUCAUGUGUGUGGGAAACUCUUCAAAGUUCCUACCUGGAACAUGAGAAAACACACAGGAGAGAAGCCCUAUAAAUGUCACCUGUGUGAGAAAAGUUUUCAUCAAAUCUCUUACCUUAGAAAACACGAGAAA